rnacentral:lncRNA from 1 species
AAGGGUACUUAAUUAACAACAAGGGUCAGCCCUAUACAUGCCAUUUUCAAAAUUGAACUAAAAGAGUACCAAAAAGUGGCUUAGAUAGUGUGGAUGACUUCGACUUUGACACUUCCGAGUCCGGUAGCUGACGAACAAAAUCUAUAAAACAGAGAAUCAAAGUAACAGAGUAAGCAUUUUAAUGCUUAGUAAGUUCAAGUAAUGAAAUUAUUUACGACUAAAGUAUAGCGUUCAUAUGACUAAAUGAAUAGCUGCAUAUACGCAUAUUCCCGAAAUCAUACUUACUUUACACUUCAACCAGUAUACUCAUACACAGGGGAUCAAACUGAACUAAAGGCCGGAAGUUUCUAAUCAAUAGAGUGAAUACUAUCUAAAAAGGAAUUAACUUUUCCGAUGCAUAUAUAAAACAUACCUUAUCGUUUGGAUUUUAUGAGCGUAUUAAUUGAAAUUAUUACAGCAAGAUCGCUCAAUUCCAAACCCAAGUACCUUCGGGAUUUAGCUGGAUAUAGCAACUCGCACAAAUGCCUUCGGGUCUUAGCCCGGAUAUAGUCAAUAGCACAAAAGCCUUCGGGACUUAGCCCGGAUAUAGUCACUAGCACAAAUGUCUUCGGGACUUAGCCCGGAUAUAGUCAAUAGCACAAAUGCCUUCGGGACUUAGCCCGGAUAUAGUCACUAGCACAAAAGCCUUCGGGACUUAGCCCGGAUAUCAUUCGAAUAAUCAUGCACAUAUAUCAAUAAAUCAUGACACAUCCAUAUUUCAUUUUCAUUACUAAAGCUCAAACACAAGACACUUAUCAAACCUUACCAAUUUCGGCUCAAUAGCCACAUACAAAGAGCAUGAUUUUGAUUGGCUUUAUAACAUGAUCUCUAUACACAUUCGGCUACCCGUCACAAGUAUAACUAAUCACCUCAAUAUAUAAUUCAAGUAGAAUCAUUAUAUCACCGUUUAUUUGUUAUGCUUAUAUGUCAUGACUUAAUCAAAUCAUAAACUAAGUUCCAUUACUCAAAAACUUACCUCGGAUAUUUGGUACAGUUGCGGAGUGGCUACUCGGUUACUUUCUCUUUUCCCUUAUCUGAAAU